GUGGCAUUAGCUCAGCUGGACAGAGCAACCGCCUUCUAAGCGGUUAGUCGCAGGUUCGAAUCCUGCAUGCCACGCCA
rnacentral:tRNA from 1 species